GAGGAAUAUUGGUCAAUGGACGCAAGUCUGAACCAGCCAUGCCGCGUGCAGGAUGAAGCAUCUAUGGUGUGUAAACUGCUUUUGUACGGGAAGAAACACUCCUACGUGUAGGAGCUUGACGGUACCGUAAGAAUAAGGAUCGGCUAACUCCGUGCCAGCAGCCGCGGUAAUACGGAGGAUCCAAGCGUUAUCCGGAAUCAUUGGGUUUAAAGGGUCCGUAGGCGGCUUUAUAAGUCAGUGGUGAAAGCCCAUCGCUUAACGAUGGAACGGCCAUUGAUACUGUAGAGCUUGAAUUACUUGGAAGUAACUAGAAUAUGUAGUGUAGCGGUGAAAUGCUUAGAUAUUACAUGGAAUACCAAUUGCGAAGGCAGGUUACUACAAGUGGAUUGACGCUGAUGGACGAAAGCGUGGGGAGCGAAC
rnacentral:rRNA from 1 species